CCUCCGCCACUCCGCCACUCCGCCGGAGCGAGUCUCUCUCCUCUUCACUUGGGAUGGGACGCCUCCUCUCCUCUGCUCCCAGCCGGAUCCAAUCCACCUCGCUCCGGCAUGCAGCCACGGAAGGCCAGGUCCGUGCGCCUCUUUCCCAUGGCCAUGGAGUCGCCGCAGCUGCCAUGGAAUGCCUGGAUGUCGUCAAGAUGCACGCAGGUGCAGCACCUACACCGAUGUCUGCUCUUGAGACACAGAUAACAGAGGAGAGGACAAGUCUAGAAUUGCUAGACUGAAUCUAUCCAUCUGCUCUGCUCUCGGGACAACAGAGGAGAGGACAAGUCCAGAAUUGCUAGACUGAAUCUAUCCAUCUGCUCAGCUCAGUUCAUGUAGGUCAGGUCACAUCACGGAGGGAUUCCUGCGAAUCUACAUACAACUUCAAUUAAUUUAUUAGUACUAGGUGGGUGUGAGAAAACUGAAACUUUUAGAUUCAUGCUUGCUUGGAUGCGUGACACACAACACUGUUUGCUCGUCUCAACUCUGUGGUUUUGCUUAUGUACCAACAUCUUCUCAACUUUGUGUUCUAUUUAUGGAAAUUGUAGAGGCUAGAGACAUAGCAAUCGUCAGGCUUCAGUUUUGUACUGACCACUCCAAGGCUUGUUCAACCUGGUGAAUCUUUCCUUCAUCUGCAUCAUUUUUCGCUUCAGUCUGUACAUCCUCGCCCUCCGCCCACUGAUCCUAUUCUCCGCCGCCCGCCUUCCUCUGCUCCUCCUCUGCCGCCGCCGAUCUCAUCUGAGCCAGUACAGAAUAUUGCUACUCAUCAACAUCUGCAGCAUCUAAGUGAAGUGAUUAUGUGGAUCUUGUGAGGAAAACAGAUAUGCCAAGAAGCCUGGGAGGUUGUCUACAGUCACUGGCCUGGUAUGUGACCUGCUUGCAUCUUUUCCUGAUUACCUCACAACUGCAGUUGUCUAUGUUUUAUAUUAACCAUCGUUUUAUCAAUUUAAUUCACAAGUUUGUUUCUCGAAUUUACAUGUAUGCGUUGAUGACAUGAAAACUGAACAUAUAUUUGUUUGACACUGAGUUCUGCUGAACAUGUAAGUAUAGCCGGGAGAGUCAUGUAUUCGCUCGAUGCCAUAGCUCACCAACCCCGAGCUGUUGCCACUGUCGAAGACACCUUAAUAUUAAACAAUAAGUAUUAUAUUCAUUAAGAGAGUUUCCUCGCUAUGUGGUGUUAAUUCUGAUCCAUAUGAUUUCUCGCACAAAGAAUGCGUCUAUAUGACAUGAGGUUAGUCUUCUUUAACUCCUUUCUGAUCUAUUAAUUAUUAAGCGUCCCAUCUCUUGGUCUCAAAGUUUUCGAGAAAAUGAUUUAUUUUGUUUAGUGCCAUUCAAGAGAUGUGGAUAAAAAAUCAUGUUUAACUAUCAAUAAGUGAUCCCAUUUCUUGGUUCAGUGAAGUGAUUAUGUGGAUCUUGUGAGGAAAACAGAUAGGCCAAGAAGCCUGGGAGGUUGUCUAGAGUCACUGGCUUGGUAUGUGACCUGCUUGCAUCUUUUCCUGAUUACCUCACAACUACAGUUGUCUACGUUUUAUAUUAACCAUCGUUUUAUCAAUUUAAUUCACAAGUUUGUUUCUCGAAUUUACAUGUAUGCGUUGAUGAGAUGAAAUCUGAACAUAUAUUUGUUUGACACUGAGUUCCUUGGCGCAGUGGUAAAGCUGCUGCCUUGUGACCAUGAGGUCAUGGGUUCAAGUCCUGGAAACAGCCUCUUACAGAAAUGUAGGGAAAGGCUGCGUACUAUAGACCCAAAGUGGUCGGACCCUUCCCUGGACCCUGCGCAAGCGGGAGCUACAUGCACCAGGUUGCCCUUUGAGUUCUGCUGAACAUGUAAGUAUAGCCGGGAGAGUCAUGUAUUCGCUCGAUGCCAUAGCUCACCAACCCCGAGUUGUUGCCACUGUCGAAGACAUCUUAAUAUUAAACAAUAAGUAUUAUAUUCAUCAAGAGAGUUUCCUCGCUAUGUGGUGUUAAUUCUGAUCCAUAUGAUUUCUCGCACAAAGAAUGCGUCUAUAUGACAUGAGGUUAGUCUUCUUUAACUCCUUUCUGAUCUAUUAAUUAUUAAGCGUCCUAUCUCUUGGUCUCAAAGUUUUCGAGAAAAUGAUUUAUUUUGUUUAGUGCCAUUCAAGAGAUGUGGAUAAAGAUAUCAAGUCGUAGUUUCAUUGUGCAUCAUGCUUUUUGUGGGGGUUUCACUGCUUUUUUUGCAUGAUUUCUCAACAUGGUAGCAUGGUCUAUCAUAUUAAACCUCUUGUUUGUGUGCUAGAUAUAUUUCGCUAUACAGGCCAACAUGUGUCGGGUGCAUGUAAGACUCCAUAUAUAGGAUCCACAUCAUAAUGUUCCAGUCCAUAGGUUCCAUCCCCCUUUAUCUUUCUUGAUCUCGAUUCAGUUGGUUGUAUUUCUUGUUUGCGUAUAAUUUCAAGAUGAUUAAUGUGAAGUGAUGACUUGCAUGUAAUUUCAAGCUGGUUGUAACCCUAAAAAGGAUAGAUUGAGUGAGGCUGGGCUGUAUGGUUGAAAAUCGUAUAUUUACAUUUGUUCUCUCCACGAUCAUGUAGCGGUGUGAUUAUUUUUGCAGUUUCUCUAAUUACCAUUUUCUCUUAUUCUAGCUUAUAUUGUUGUGUUGACAACACUGGAGGGAUGUUACUGAAGGAAUAUUCAAUAAUAGCUAGAGUUUUUGUACUUACUGAUUAUAUACAUUGACAUAUGACCAUAACUGAACAAUGUUGAGUUUUCUUCUAAAUUAGUAUGAAUUUUUUUCUGCUCAAAAACAGUUUUCUAUGAUAUUUGUAAUUUCCACGUUUCGAUUGAGCUUCUUACGAUCUAUCAGUAAGGCCUCUCAGGUUUUAGAUUUGUGAUUAGAUCGUUGCAUAUAAGCCAAAAUGAGUCUAUAAUAAGGGAAAUAAACUGGCUACGCUUACCGUAUGGAUGAAACUGAAGAGUGAAGUGAUAUUUCUUUCUACCAUUGCAUAGCUUUACCAUCACCGAUCCAUGUUAAGUGUGAUUUAUUUCUCUGUACAUUAUUCGGAUACAAAGGAUUCAAGCUGAAAAGAAGAUGCAGUGGAUUCAAUGUUAUGCAGAACAUUAUCACAAGUUGGCAUUUCCUGUGAAACGAAGACCAUUAUAUAGAACAUUGAUUAAUUUGUAGAAAAAUGCUGAUAGCCAAAGGUUAAUGCUGAUAGCCAAAGGGUAAUGCUGAUAGACCAUUAUAUAUAAAUACUUGAAAUAAUUCAGUUAUGGUUUCUAUCAAUAUAUUGUUUCUACUGCAUAUAUAUUACUUUUAGCUACGCAAUUUCCUCCGACAGCCAAAGGCUUGUCUAUUAGUAUCUUUUGUAUUUGAUGGGAUCUUGUAACGAGAAAAAACCUUCGAAGCAAGAAACAGGAAACAAAAAGCUUGAUAGUAUUGUACUAUUUUAU